UCCAUCCUUGGGUUCCCAUGGAACCUUUUUCAUUCUUCAGUCGUUUCCAUCUCGGUUUGUAUUUUGCGAUUCAGGACCUUUCUUGUCGCCGUGAUUCUGGUAGCUUCUAUAUUUUCUUGUGACUCUUAAGUUCGAAAGCUUCUCAUUUCCCCCAGUUGGAUGCAAUGUAUUCGUGACAGGGAGGGGGUGUGUCUUUUAGAAAGUAGAUCAAUUCCCCUCUUACAUUUUCUCUCUCUCCUCUAACCCCUGUCCUAAAAUCAUCCCAUGGGUCUUCUCAGUCUAUCGGUGUCGUAAAUUCAAAAGGCCCUCCAGCAAGGAGACGGAAUAGGGAGGGGGUUGCUGUUCACGAAAGUGUCGGUUACACGGGAUGAAGAGACUACGUAGUCCGCUUGGUUCUCAGGACUGUACGGAGACUUGCCACUUACGGGGAGGGUAGAGCUCAUGGUGUCUGCUCUUACCACAAGAGAAAAAAAAAAGAAAAAAGAGAGAAAUCAAUAUGAAAUGCCCCUCCCCCCCAAAAAAGUUUCAAACAAACAAACAAAAAAUUGUCUAAAAAGAGUCAGUGUGUUUCCAUGCUUGGGAACCUUGGAUAAAGAAUCUAUGAGAACCAAAAAGGAGGAAAAGUGAGCACAUGCACAAAUUGUUUCAACAGCCAAGGGGAGAGAUUACCAGGAGGCAGAAAACAAAAGGUCCCUGGGAAGGACUGAGGAGGUCAUCGUAGCCCCGUCUACACGAGUAGGCUCCACACCCCACGUGGGCCUUCACCCCAAGGCCCUGAGAUGGAGGGUUGCAUCGUCUCCUGGCUGAGCUGGCUCGGCACCCCUUUCUGACAGGCAUAUGCUCAUUACAAAGCAUUUGUUGAGGAAGAGGACUAAAGCCGAAAAUAAUAAAAUCAUAAAUCACCCAGCACCUGGGCUCCGCUCUCCUGCCUGAGAUGUUCUCGCUCAACCAGGAUUCUGUGCCAACGUCGGCCGCACCCGGUGCUGGAUGGAGCAACGUUCCUGGAGCUUCCUGCAGGGCUUGGCUCAGCCCCAGGUCGGGGGUGACCCCCGGAAAAUCAGAAAGCCCGUGCAUCCUUUGCUCACUGGUCGGCUCUGGGCUGGUAACCUGAGGACUCGGCUGCUGCCACUUUUUUUUCAUCUUUUCCCUGGACUUACCCCUUCAGUCCCCAUCACUGAGUUGGGAAGCUUGAUGAGCAUUUUUAGAGACGGAGCAAAACCAUGCUGGAAUCUUCUGUUUCCCUUCUUGGUACCCUACGCCACUUUCAUGGCAAUGAGAAUCUGGAAGUCAUCCUACCAAAAAGGAGAGGGAGCUGAUGGGAUCAACAUUUUCUUUUGGGAUAUGACUUCUUGUGCCAAGGAUUAAAACAGCUGCAGCCAGGAGCGACCAGCAGGUAAAGGAUUAAUUGUGAGGUUCUUGCAGUUUUCCUGGCAACAAAAACACAGAUUGGAGCUAGGGUGACUGCAGUGAGGAACGAAGGCUGGGGGAUGGAGUGAGGAGAUGUUGCAAUAAUAAAAUUUGGGGUUGAUGAAUAUCCCGUAGGAAU
rnacentral:lncRNA from 12 species